UACGUAGGGGGCAAGCGUUGUCCGGAAUCAUUGGGCGUAAAGAGCUCGUAGGCGGUCCGGUAAGUCCGCUCUGAAAGCCCGGGGCUCAACCCCGGGAGGCGGGCGGAUACUGUCGGGCUAGAGUCCGGAAGAGGCGAGUGGAAUUCCUGGUGUAGCGGUGGAAUGCGCAGAUAUCAGGAGGAACACCAAUAGCGAAGGCAGCUCGCUGGGACGUUACUGACGCUGAGGCGCGAAAGCGUGGGGAGCGAACAGG
rnacentral:rRNA from 1 species